rnacentral:rRNA from 1 species
CCCUUAGAUGUUCUGGGCCGCACACGCGCUACACUGGCAGGUUCAUCGAGCUUCAUGCCCUGAUCUGAGAAGAACGGGAAAUCUUUGAACACCUGCCGUGCUUGGGAUAGAUGUUUGCAAUUAUUCAUCUUCAACGAGGAUUGCCUUGUAAGCGCACGUCAUCAGCGUGCAUUGAAUACGACCCUGUAUUCUGUACACACCGCCCGUCGCUACUACCGAUUGGAUUGUUUAGCGAGAGCCUUGGAUCGCUGCCCGGGUAGUCAGCAAUGGCCGCCCGGGAAUAGUGAAAAAUUGUUCCAGCUUGCCGAUCUAGAGGAAGUAAAAGUCGUAACA